CAGACGGGAGGCAGCAGGGAGGAAUAUGGGGCAAUGGGAGAGAGAAGGAAAAAGACAAGGAGAGGGAGGGAAGACGGUCCUAUGGAUUGUAAACCUCUUUUGUCGGGGAGCAAAAGACGCCACGCGUGGCGUUCCGAGAGUACCCGAAGAAAAAGCAUCGGCUAACUCCGUGCCAGCAGCCGCGGUAAUACGGAGGAUGCGAGCGUUAUCCGGAUUUAUUGGGUUUAAAGGGUGCGUAGGCGGGAUGCCAAGUCAGCGGUAAAAAUGCGGUGCUCAACGCCGUCGAGCCGUUGAAACUGGCGUUCUUGAGUGGGCGAGAAGUAUGCGGAAUGCGUGGUGUAGCGGUGAAAUGCAUAGAUAUCACGCAGAACUCCGAUUGCGAAGGCAGCAUACCGGCGCCCUACUGACGCUGAGGCACGAAAGCGUGGGUAUCGAACAGGAUUAGAUACCCGAGUAGUC
rnacentral:rRNA from 1 species